rnacentral:rRNA from 1 species
GACGAACGCUGGCGGCGUGCUUAACACAUGCAAGUCGAACGGAAAGGCCCUGCUUUUGUGGGGUGCUCGAGUGGCGAACGGGUGAGUAACACGUGAGUAACCUGCCCUUGACUGUGGGAUAACUUCAGGAAACUGGGGCGAAUACCGGAGAGGAGCUCCUGCUGCAUGGGGGGGGAUGGAAAGAUUCGGCGGUUGGGGAUGGACUCGCGGCUUAUCAGCUGGUUGGUGGGGUAGUGGCGUACCAAGGCUUUGACGGGUAGCCGGCCUGAGAGGGUGACCGGCCACAUUGGGACUGAGAUACGGCCCAGACUCCUACGGGAGGCAGCAGUGGGGAAUAUUGCACAAUGGGCGGAAGCCUGAUGCAGCAACGCCGCGUGCGGGAUGACGGCCUUCGGGUUGUAAACCGCUUUCGCCUGUGACGAAGCGUGAGUGACGGUAAUGGGUAAAGAAGCACCGGCUAACUACGUG